rnacentral:rRNA from 1 species
GAUGAACGCUAGCGGCAGGCCUAAUACAUGCAAGUCGAACGGUAAGUUUUCUUUGGAAGACACGAGUGGCGCACGGGUGAGUAACGCGUACGCAAUCUACCUCUAUCAGGGGGAUACACACGGGAAACUGUGGAUAAUCCCGCAUACAAUUCAGACUUGGCAUCAGGUUUGGAUAAAAGUCAAGGCGGAUAGAGAUGAGCGUGCGUCUGAUUAGCUAGUUGGUGAGGUAACGGCUCACCAAGGCGACGAUCAGUAGGGGGCGUGAGAGCGUGAUCCCCCACACGGGUACUGAGACACGGUCCAGACUCCUACGGGAGGCAGCAGUGGGGAAUAUUGGACAAUGGGCGCAAGCCUGAUCCAGCAAUUCCGCGUGGGUGAAGAAGGUCUUCGGAUUGUAAAGCCCUUUCGUUGGGGACGAUGAUGACGGUACCCAAAGAAGAAGCCCCGGCUAACUUCGUG